rnacentral:rRNA from 1 species
UACAGAGGGUGCGAGCGUUGUUCGGAAUUAUUGGGCGUAAAGGGCGCGUAGGCGGUGCCACAAGUCACUUGUGAAAUCUCCGGGCUUAACUCGGACCUGCAGGCGAAACUGUGGUGCUGGAGUGUGGGAGAGGAGACUGGAAUUCAUGGUGUAGCAGUGAAAUGCGUAGAGAUCAUGAGGAAGACCAGUGGCGAAGGCGGGUCUCUGGACAGUUCCUGACACUGAGACACGAAGGCCAGGGGAGCAAACGGG